UACCCAAAUUUCUCAAAUCCUCUAAAUCCCUAAAUUCGCCACAUCGAUCUGAAAAUCGACGAACGCCAAAUCCCGUGCUCCUUCUGCUCACGUCCGUCCUCCGUCCUCCGUCAGUCCGACCGCAAACAAGCAGAGUGGCUCCGUCAAUCGUCCGCUGCCAACCGCGCUGCUCCUCGCCGCCAACAGCCAUGCCAUCCGUCAGCCACACCACCGACGCAUCCACCAUUGCCGGCGACUGAAGGUAUAUAUAGACAACCAUGAGUGAUCAAACUAGAGAUACUUCUAGUUCAGCCCUUAAAGAAAAACCUAAAAGAAGAGGUCCAAAUGCAUGUAAAAACUUCAAUAAGAAAAAGGCAAAAGAAGAAGUAUCAAUUCAGUUUGAUAAAUAUAAUAGGCCGGUUGGAUCAUAUAGCAAGAAGUUUGCAUCUUAUGUUGGGGCUGUGGUUCGUGGUAGAUUAGAUAUCAACAUCGAAAAUUGGGACAAAGUAGAAGGAAUGAUCAAAGAUUCAAUUUGGACAGAUGUUAAGAUGAUACAAAGAAGAAGCUUGUAUUGAAAGUUGCAUCCAAGAGAUGGAGAGACUUCAAAAGUAGAUUGAAGCGUGAAUAUAUUAUCAAUAAGCACCCAAACUAUGAUUCUCCUGCACAACUCUAUGACUUCAUAACUUAGGAGAGUUGGGCGAAAUUUGUUGCACAUCGUGAGAGUAAGGCAUUCAAGGAGAAAAGUGAGAAGGCAAAACAAAGGCAAGCAUGCAAUGAGCAUCCACACUUUCUAGGUUCUGCUGGAUAUGUUGGCAAACAAGCAGAGUGGAAGAUGUCAGACCCGUUAUCUUCACAAUCUUCUUGUGCUUCUGUUAGCUCGUCAUUAUUGUUCGAAGAUCGCAGUUUUGAUUGGGUACGAGCAAGAGUUAAGAAGUCAAAAGAAGGAAGUUAUUUCAUUCUGAAUGAGAAAACACAAGAGGUGUUUCAUAAAAUUGUAAGCACUAUUUUUAAAAAAUUGUUAUAAGAAUAUAUAGGGGGUGUUUGGUUAUUGGCUGAUCAGCCAAUUUUUGGCUGAUUUGACCAUUUUCAACAGUUUGACUUAGUCAAUCAGCUGAAAUGAGUGUUUGGUUAAUAGCUUUUUCUUUCAGCUGAUUCAUCCAAUAAGCUGAUUUGGGAAACGCUGGGUGAGACAGCGUUUUAUGAAUGGCUGGUUGUAUAUAAUUUCUAAAAGACAGAUUUACCCAUUAUUCUUCUUCUUUUCUCGCUUCUCCCCUCUCACUGUAAGCCAUGGACAACCCUCAAGAAAGUCUUCAUCCUCAAAGUUCAGAGCACACAACAAAUACAUGCACAAACUAUAUUUUUUAUUCACAAAUUAA